GACGAACGCUGGCGGCGUGCUUAGCACAUGCCAGUCGAACGGAAAGGCCCUGCUUUUGUGGGGUGCUCGAGUGGCGAACGGGUGAGUAACACGUGAGUAACCUGCCCUUGACUUUGGGAUAACUUCAGGAAACUGGGGCUAAUACCGGAUAGGAGCUCCUGCUGCAUGGUGGGGGUUGGAAAGUUUCGGCGGUUGGGGAUGGACUCGCGGCUUAUCAGCUUGUUGGUGGGGUAGUGGCUUACCAAGGCUUUGACGGGUAGCCGGCCUGAGAGGGUGACCGGCCACAUUGGGACUGAGAUACGGCCCAGACUCCUACGGGAGGCAGCAGUGGGGAAUAUUGCACAAUGGGCGGAAGCCUGAUGCAGCAACGCCGCGUGCGGGAUGACGGCCUUCGGGUUGUAAACCGCUUGCGCCUGUGACGAAGCGUGAGUGACGGUAAUGGGUAAAGAAGCACCGGCUAACUACGUG
rnacentral:rRNA from 1 species